rnacentral:rRNA from 1 species
UCUGCCCAAUGAUUUUAAAAUUUAAUGGCUGCAGUAUAAUUAACUGUACAAAGGUAGCAUAAUCAAUUGUUUUUUAAUUAAGAACUAGAAUGAAAGAAUUAAUGAGAUAUAUUCUGUCUCAUAUAUAUAUUAUGAAAUUAAAUUUUUAGUAAGAAUGCUAAAAUAUGUUUAUGGGACGAUAAGACCCUAUAGAAUUUUAUAUUUAUAUUUGGAAUUAAAAUUUAUUUUAAGUAUAAGUAUUUGAUUGGGAGGAUUAAUAAAUUUAAUUAACUUUAUUUAAAAUAUUAACUUUAAUUAAAGAAUUAUUUUUGAUCUUUUAUUAAAAAUUAAAAGAAAAAAUUACCUUAGGGAUAACAGCGUAAUAUCUUUUUAAAGAUCAUAUUAAUAAAGAUGGUUGCGACCUCGAUGUUGAAUUAAGAUAAAUUUUAAACGGAGAAGUUUAAUGAUUAAGUCUGUUCGAC